AUGGCUGGCGAAGGCAUCUCGAUAGAUGAAUUUAUGGAGUACGACUCGAUGGUCAGGCAGACAUUUAAAAGUGAGAACGAAGCGUACAAGUUCUACUUAGGGUAUGCGAAGAACAAAGGGUUUGGUGUUAGAAAGGGCGAUCUGAAAUAUAAGGGAAACAAGGAAAAUGCAUACCGGAGGACGUUUGUGUGUUGCAAACAAGGAUAUCGUGACGUAAAGCACUUUGAUGAAACCGACAAGAAAAGGACGCCAAGGGCACUCUCUCGGUGUGGUUGUCCUGCUCUUUUGCAGGUUGAGCUUCAAGCAAGCACUGGGUUGUGGUUUGUAAAGAAUUUUGUUGACCAACAUAGCCAUCCAUUCAUAAAUCCUGAGUUGUCACCUUUCUUGUGGUCUCAUCGUGGCAUGACCGAUCCACAGAAGGCGGAUGUCAUUGAGUACUCGGUUGGUGGACUUCGCACACAUCAGAUAAUGGAUGUGAUGGAGAAGCAGGCUGGUGGUUUGGGCAAGGUUGGAUUUAUAUCUCGCGAUCUGUAUAACCAUGUCGCGUUGGAGAAGAAGAAAAAGAUAGAAGAUACACCACAGACAGUGAUGGGCAUCUGCAGAACAUAUUCUGGGCAGACGCCCAAUCUCGCUUGGACUAUGUUGCAUUUGGUGGUGUGGUGGUGUUUGACAGCACAUACCGGUCAAACAAAUAUAGGUUGCCGUUUGUUCCAUUUGUGGGGCUGA
rnacentral:rRNA from 1 species